GCAGAGUAAGCGGCUGCGCGUGAAGUGCCGGGCGGACGGGGAGUUUGCCGCCGGGACGAAGGGCUUUGCCCGCGGUGCGGCCGCCGCAUCCCGCUGC
rnacentral:ncRNA from 1 species